rnacentral:lncRNA from 1 species
UUAAAGGUUCAUAAUCUUGAUAAAACAUUAAUCUUUGGUAAUACUCCUUGCUGGUUCACGUUGAUUGUUCUAUUGAGUUAUAAGAAAUGAUUUUAAUUGCAUAUGGUUGCUCAUAAUAUUCUGCUCGUGCAUAGAGUCAUUUAUCAUUUCACCGAGUCCCGGGCCGGGUAAUGUUCGUGCGGAGUUUCUUGCAUAUGUCACCGAGUCCCUCACUAGAGGGCCGGGUAUGUAUAUUAUAUAUAUGAUUGGUGAUGAGGAUGGUUAUGAUGAUGAUGAUGACGGAGAUGACGUGAUGAUUAUUUUGCCGAGCCCCUUACUAGGGAAGCUGGGCACCUUAAAUGUUAAAUAUAUGCAUGAUUUUCACUUAAAAAGUAUAUGUGUAGCGAUAUUUUGUUUCGACUUGCCACAUUGGUAUCCUGUCAUCUUUACCUUAUGCUUUACAUACUCAGUACAUUGUCCGUACUGACCCCCCUUUCCUCGGGGGGCUGCGUUUCAUGCCCGCAGGUGUAGACGCGCAGUUCGGUGAUCCUCCCGCCUAGGAUAUCUACUCUGCUGAUUGGGAGAGCUCCACUGUUCCCGAGCCCAGUCGUUUUGGUACAUAACUUUUGUGUAGUCUUUUGCUCGUCUAUGGGUAUGGUGGGGCCCUGUCCCGUCGAGUUUCACUAAUGUACUCUUAGAGGUCUGUGGACAUUAUGUGGGUUGUAUAUAUAUGUUUUGGAUAAUGGUCUGGACAUGGUUUGUUUGGGAUGUCCGCUUGUACAGGGGUAGCCUUGUCGGCUGCGUACAUCAUUAUGCUUUGAAUAGUGGCGGCCUUGUCGGCUCGCGUAUGCUGUUAUGGUUGAAUGGUUAUGACUCCUUAUGAGACAGGUCCUCUUAUAUAUAUAUAUGACGUUGGGGUUGGCUUGAUUUGAUUAAAUUCCAUAUUGUCUUAGUUUCAGUUGGUCAUACUUAGCAGGUUUGUAUGUGGGUGUCCAAAACGGGCACUAAUCACGGCCUAUCGGGUUGGGUCGUGACAAUAAGACCUUAGAAUCAUGAACAAAAUUUAGAUAUACUCGAACGAAAAUUUUGAAAUUUGCUCACCCAAACCCGAGAGCUCCUUGUCAAACACAUAGUUUAUUUUUCAAUACUUUUCUUCUUCUUAUUGUGUAGUUCAAUAAUAUCCUUUAAUCCUAUUUUUUACAUACAAAUGCAAUGAUUCAUUUUAAUCUCAUACCUUCAAUGAAUAAAAUAAGUAAUCGAAAAGACUAGAGAAAUGAUUUGGCUACCAUUACUACAAUUUAUUCUUUCAAUUCUUGUUAAAUUGUGCAUGAAAUCUUUAUAAGCCAAUCUGUGUUGGCUAGGCAACUUAUUUCGUCCUUUUGAUAUUAGGGAGAUUAUGGGAUUGAUCAUCCAUAUUUUUUUACUGCCCUUUAUUAGAAUAAUAAAGAAGUUUGUAUAAACCAAUUUUUUAUUUAGCUAUUAUGCCCAUUAUUUGAUCAUUUGUAUAACGAGAAUAUAUUGCAGCAUAUAUCUUUAUUUGGCACAAGACAACCACUUGAUUAAACUUUAUUCUUAUCAACCAUUGAUGAUUUGAUAUACUUAAGCUCUUACUUUCUUAGAUCACUUUGAACUUACAUUGCUUCUUCUUUUUUCUUACAUUCUUAAAGAAAUCUUUAGCAUUAACAUCAUAUGAGUCAAUCUGAAAUCUAGUGUCUUCCCCACACCAAAAAGGGGUGGUUUACCGAUCAAAGUGAACCUAUAUCAUGUAAGGUAUAUAUGAAAUCCAGCGUCUACCCCACACUGAAAAGCGGUGGUUCACUGGCUAAAGUGAAACAAAGUACAGUGUAUUUCCCACACCGAAAAGUGGUGGUUCAAGCCUAAUGUGAAAAUAAUUCAUUCUUUGAGCAUUUAAGAGACAUACAUCAUGUAUGCUAUGCGUGAAAUCCGGUGUCUACCCUACACCGAAAAGGGGUGGUUUCAUCGACCAAAGUUAACCAGCAUCAUACCUAGCUCUUUUAGGUGGAAUCCACUAGCUAAUUCCUAUGCUGAGAACAUAGUUCGAACAAUAGGUGACAUAUGGAGACUACUUAUCCACGUUGGUGGUAGCCUCAUAUCAUGAGGAUUACAUGUGCUGGCACAACCUCCUUCAAAGUCUAUCAUUGCUUUGCUCAACUUCUUUUUAUCUACAUCUUUUAUAGUUGACUCAAACAUUAUCGAAGCUUGCUUCUAGUUAUUAGCUUUACUUAACUCUUAGGAUAACCGUUCAUCCCUUUCUUUACUUGAUGAAAUGUGAAUUUAACCUUACAUUAUGAUCUUCGUGUUAAGGAGACCCGUCUCAUGAUUAUUAACACGCUUUUAUGUUAGUAUCUCUAGCAUAGUGGUCUAGGUGUGAGUGAGACUUGUAUAACUUUUUUUAACACCUCAUUCUUGUAAAUUUCAUAAUUAUUGAACUUUUAAUUAUGUUAUUACUCACCUUAUCUUGUACAUUAUAAACUUUGUUCAAUGUACUUACUUAUAUUCAUAGUUCAUUUUGAAAGGGUAUGUUUGGACUUGUCCCAAUGAUUGGCGUACCCUUUGUUAUGAAUUCAAAGUAACAUUGGUCAUGAUUAAUUUGGUUUAAAUUAGUCAUUAUCCAUUUAAUCAUAAUGUCUUUUAAAUAACUUUGUAAGCCAAUUUUAUUCACUUUUGGGACAAUGUGUUAUUAGCUAAUUUAUCGGUACAAUCAAAACUUUCAUGUAAAAAAAUUUCAUUAUGUUAUCACUAGCAACAUUAAUUAAUCCCAUGAAUGUAUUAUAGUUAUACCCUCAACAUAAUAAAGUCUAAUUUAACAGAAGCUAAAUUCAUAAUAAAUAUCUAAGAAACUUCAUAUUCUCAAACACAAUUAAGCAUUACAUCUUACUUUAUUUCUUAUAACUAAAACCCUAAUUAUAUGAAUAAAGUAUAUAGGCCUCAUUAGUCAUUAACAAAUCAAGAACCUACAAAAAAUGAUCAGUUAGCACCACAUACCAACAACAUGUUCUAGAUUAUAUCUAUAUACUUAUAGAAGCGAACACAAGGAUAACUAGGGAGAUGGACGUUCAACAAUAUCAUUGGGAACAUACCUGGUUUCGACAUUAAUGAAUUCAAAACGUUUCAAAGGCCUCUUGGAGAAAGAUUCCCAGGAGAAAAAACCCAUACCUUAUGUAGAAUUGAAACUAAAAAGAUCACCUUGCACGAAAACCAUGAAGAAAACCUUAAAAUCCCCUAAGAGAACUUUUCUAUUUUUCUAUGUUUUGCGCACUGUUUAUUCUCACAAUUGCGUACAAUUUUGAGUCGGGAAUUUUUUUAAUGUUUUUACACGAGUAGAAGUUUUAGAAUCUGAUAUUCACUAAUUCAAUUUAGGGUGAUUAAGUUAAUUAUAUAAAUAAUUUAGUUAAUUACAAAAAUGCCCCUACUAGAUUGACUAAAAAUAGGAUAGCAUUUAACUUAGUCAAACCUGAAAUUUUUCGUAAGAGUUUUGGCCUUUCUUGUGAAUUUUCCUUAAUUAUUUAAUUCCUAAAUUUAAUUAAUUAAGGGACAAGGAGUGAUUUUUAAUGCACCCGAAAAUUAAUUUGGACCAUAACUAACCAUUUUGACGAUCCUAAGUUAGGUAGUAAGAUGUUACUAGGUUAGUGUAACCCAAUUAAGUUUUAGGUUGUCGGGUGCACUAGAUAGUUUAUUUUUGUUUUUUCUAGUUUAUUUAGAUAAUUAGGUCAGUUAGUUAGAGUCUAGUGUUUUUUAGAUAGUUAGGCCCUACAUGGGUGGACCCUUGCGCAUGCUUGUCCCCUAACUACCCUAAGCUAAUUCCGUUAGGGUUGUCCCCUCCCUUUUAUGGCUUUAAACACGUGUUGCUUGUAAUUUACCAACUAAAUAUUCUUGAUUGUUCAUUUGGAAUGUUUACUUUUUUCCUAAGAAUCCUCACUAUGUCCUUAGGCAAUACUUAAUCUACAUGUCCAUUUUAAUUGGUCAUGUGCUAUGGUGCCGAGGCUUGACGCAUUGUUGCCUCACACCUAAUGUACAAAUGCUAGAAAAUAUAUUUUUUUGGCUUAGGUUCAUAAUUGUUGGUACAUUUCAUGGACAAGCUUGUUAAUACAUUUAAAAUUGGCUAACACCUUUAAAGUCAAUAUUUUGUAAUAUGCCCAAUAUUUCAAAAUGAUUGGCAUUGGGAUGCAUAUUUAACCCCAAUACCUAUUCUUAAAACAUAAUAGUCUCUUAACUAAGACAGUACAUUUUCUUGAAUGUUACAACAAGAUCAUCACAUAAUCACAAUUAACAAUAAUUAAAGUAAAGAGUUCAGAUCACAAGACUUAUCAAGUCUCCUUCAUCAUCUAUCAUCAUGGUCUUACCAUCAACCCUUUAAAUGAACCCAUUAUGGGUGUAAUAUCUUCACACAACAAUAACCAACAUGAUAAAAAGGACAAUUGAGUUACUACAUCAUAUUCCAUCACUAGUUCGUUGCUUAAGAUAAGAGACUUAGGUCAAAUUCAUAAUCUAUUUCGCAACAUAGUUCAAUUACUCAAGAACUAUCAUUAUAGGACUAAAAUUCAUUUUAAAAUAUUCAUAGUUAUUACAAUGACAUUAUAGGAUUGUAACUCAAUAAAUAACAAGUCCAUUGAACCAAUACUACGCAAAUUACAUCAAGAUCACAACCUAGGGUUAAGGAGGAAAGGUCAUCUUCUAGAAACUAGACUAAUACAUAAUUGAGUAGUGUAACAUAGUCAUAAAUAAUCAUUAUAAUCAAUACAAACCAAAGAAAAUAUAAACAAAUCAGAUUGAAACAUUAAUUUCAAGAUUGGAAUAAACCCGAAGUAGCAAUGGUUAGAGGAAUCCCAUACAUUAAUGUUUGGUGAAUGUUUAUGGAUAAACAUUUGUGAUUUCAGCCCUAAAACCCACCUUGACCUUGUCUUCUAUUGUGUUCUUCAACUUGGGAGAGAGAAAGUAGGGAGAAGGAAGAGAGUUUGGGUUUGGCAAUUAUGAGGGCUUAGGUCAGUUUUAUUAAGUUAGGGUCUUUAUAUAGGUUGUUAAUUAACUUAAUUAUACCUCCCAUAAGCCCUAAUUUACCUUAUAACUAAGCCAAAUAAUUAAAUUAAUUAAAUAAAAACGUGUAGCAAAAUAGUGGCUCUAAAGACGAGACCACGAUCGAUGGAUCGUGGGUCCAUCGACGGGCACUGUUCAUCUCCGUGUUACCCACUUGUUGAUAAGUUCAUAGACUGUCCAUUUGCAGACAUCAAAAAAUUUGUUUUAAGUGUCUAUCAACGGAAGCUGUCCACGCCCCGUCGAUUGGUAAUGGAUUGUGGGUUGCAUCUGUUGGUGGACAAUGCCUUGGUGAAACCAUUGACACCAAAAUGAAAGGGUCCUCCUCAAGGUCCCUUGCUUGGUCCUUAGAUAGUUGUACCCAGACGUUUCAUCAACGAAUCAUCUCGAAUACAUGUUAGACACCCUUCCACCAAUUUUCAUCAUUUUCUAGAUCAUAAAAUUUAGUAAAAUAGGCUAAGGCACACUAGAACUCCAUUGAACUAGCUUCAGGACGUCGGUUUCACAUCCGGGUUUGCCCCCUAAAUGUAAUCGCUGUCAUUGUCCUCUUUGAGGACUAAAACUAGACUCUUAGUUUACAUCAUUAAAUUCAUAGGUCAAAUUAUGCAAAAAAAAUUAAACUUUUCAUUAGUUCUACUUGGAGGUUUACAUAGACCUCUACUUACACAUAAUAUAUAUAUAUAUAUAUAUAUAUAUAUAUAUAUAGUAUAGAUAGACCUUUCGUAUCGGAAGAUUACUUACACUUCUACUUUUUUUGCACAUAAGUAUCUAAAAUAUAACAAAGACAUAAUAGUAAUAAUAGUUGUAUAAUCUCAUAACCAUCAAAUAAGGUUGUAAGAACUUGGGCAUAACCCAUACAUCAAGUAAAAUUGCCUCUAUAUAAUGUUUCAUACUAAAUGAAUAUAAAGAACCAUAGAAGUCUUUAACUAAAGUAACUCCAUAAGCUAGAUAGUGACAUCGCCUUCACAAAUUGAGGACCUACUCUACAUGGAUGAAUACGAGAUCCAGGCAUUCCUCAAGUCGUCUUCGAAACACCUUAAAGAGCGGAACCUAAAGUGUUGGGGAAAAGGAAUAAAUGGGGUUAGUACACCACUUAUACAAAGUAGGAGACCAUAUUCACACAUACUUUGAAGACAUUCAACGAAAAGGGACAUUUCAUAAAGUAUGCAUUUUUCAUUAAAAAACAUUAAGCAUAUUCAACAACACCAUACCAAUCAUUAAUGCAUGUUCAUUAAGCCAUGGGCAUUUACAUAACAAAAACAACAAAAUAAAAUCAAGUCUAGUCCAUAUACUUAUCAUAUGAUUUAAUACCUAUCAAAGUAACUCUAUCAUGAAAUCAUAUCACAACAAGCAUGCAGAGGAGUAGAUUUCAAUAUAAAAAAAGCAAGACCAAUACACAUGAACCAUUAUAAGGUCAACAAGUUCAAUUUACCUUUUGGGAACAUCUUUCCCUGGGAUACAUAGACAACAUGAACUAAUGUGGAAUGUGGUGUAAUAAAAAUCAAUAAAGAAGGAAGGUGGACUACAUGCCAAGGUAGUAUCAAAACAUGAAACAUAGCAACUACGUGGAUAUCCUAGCUAGUAUUCCUAUGGGGGCAACAUAGUUCAAAAACUAGGAGAUAUUAAGUGGACCCUCUUUAUGAUACAUGCAUUGUGGUCUACAAUCUAAAGAGUACUUUGGUGAUCCUACCUUACUUAUGUAGGAAAGGAUAAUCCUCACUCUAGUUCACUCGGUGCUGAGCUAGAGUCCAUUUUUGAAAAGUCUUUAAGCCUUUAUGAUCAUUCAUAGCUUAGUUUAGGUCACAGGUCUACCCAUUGUAUAAUCAUCAUCAUCAAUAGCUAAAUAAGAAUUGCAUGAGUAUGAAUCCUUUGAUUACAAUAGUUAUAGGUGAAGUUAGCACAUUAAAAUCUUCACCAUCCUUAAAACUUUUAAAUCUUAAAACCAUAUCACACCAUAAUAAUCAAAAUAUUUCAAUUCAACAUCAUACCACCCUAUCAAUCCUAGUUCAAGGCAUGCUCCAAAAAAUUAUUAUGACUUAAUAAUAAUUACCAACAAUUUGAAGCAAAGGAUAGAGAUCAUAAGACUUACCAAGUCUCAUUCAUAAUUCAAUAUCAAGGUCUUACCAUCAACCCUCUAUUUAACCCAAUUUGGGUAUAAAUCAUUAUAUGUAAAUAAUCAACAUGGUAAAAACGCAAAAAGAAUCACUACAUCAAAAUUCAAUACUAGAUCAUAGCUUAAGACAUAAUACUUAGGUCAAUUCACCACUCACUUUAUAAUCUAGAUCAUCUUCUCAAGAACUAGCAUGAACAUUUACCAAUCAUCCUAAUUUUGUUCAUGAUUAGUGUACCAACAUCAAAUAGCAAUAAUUCAACAAAAUAACCAAGUAAACGUAAAAAAAAUCCCUAAUUCAAAUCUAGAUCAAACCUAGUGUCACGACCCAACCCGAUAGGCCGUGAUUAGUGCCCGUUUUGGACACCCACAUACAAACCUGCUAAGUAUGACCAACUGAAACUAAGACAAUAUGGAAUUUAAUCAAAUCAAGCCAACCCCAACGUCAUAUAUAUAUAUAAGAGGACCUGUCUCAUAAGGAGUCAUAACCAUUCAACCAUAACAGCAUACGCGAGCCGACAAGGCCGCCACUAUUCAAAGCAUAAUGAUGUACACAGCCGACAAGGCUGCCCCUGUACAAGCGGACAUCCCAAACAAACCAUGUCCAGACCAUUAUCCAAAACAUAUAUAUACAACCCACAUAAUGUCCACAGACCUCUAAGGGUACAUUAGUGAAACUCGACGGGACAGGGCCCCGCCAUACCCAUAGACGAGCAAAAGACUACACAAAAGUUAUGUACCAAAACGAAUGGGCUCCGGAACAGUGGAGCUCUCCCAAUCAGCAGAGUAGAUAUCCUAGGCGGGAGGAUCACCGAACUGCGCGUCUACACCUGCGGGCAUGAAACGCAGCCCCCCGAGGAAAGGGGGGUCAGUACGGACAAUGUACUGAGUAUGUAAAGCAUAAGGUAAAGAUGACAGGAUACCAAUGUGGCAACUCGAAACAAAAUAUCGCUACACAUAUACUUUUUAAGUGAAAAUCAUGCAUAUAUUUAACAUUUAAGGUGCCCAGCUUCCCUAGUAAGGGGCUUGGCAAAAUAAUCAUCACGUCAUCUCUGUCAUCAUCAUCAUCAUAACCAUCCUCAUCACCAAUCAUAUAUAUAAUAUACAUACCCGGCCCUCUAGUGAGGAACUCGGUGACAUAUGCAAGAAACUCCGCACGAAUAUUACCCGGCCCGGGACUCGGUGAAAUGAUAAAUGACUCUAUGCACGAGCAGAAUAUUAUGAGCAACCAUAUGCAAUUAAAAUCAUUCUUAUAACUCAAUAGAACAAUCAACGUGAACCAGCAAGGAGUAUUACCAAAGAUUAAUGUUUUAUCAAGAUUAUGAACCUUUAAUACGAUAUGAAAACGUAAAAUUUCAAUGACUCUAAGAAGCAUUACCAUAGAUAUUAGAGAUCAUCAUAGCCUUAGACAUAACCGAUAUAUAGAGGAAUAAUUGUGGAAGCAAGAAUAUACAUCACCUAGACGCUUUAGAGGUAAGUAUCAAAUCUGUCCGUUAUUCGCUUAUUUUUAAAAGUCAUGCCAAGCAAAGAAAGAAGGGACAACGUUACAUACCGUAUAAUCGAGCCGCACGUCCAAUAUUUACUGCUCAAGCUAUUAAUCUAUAACAAGCAACAAUCGUGCCGCAAUUAGAUAAACAUCGUGCUUUACUUUCUUGUAAGCUAGCUAAUAAUCUAACGAAAAUUCGGCAGCACCUCCCCUAUUUUCCUUACUUCGUCCCAAUCCGACAACAAUCCAAAUUAUCCACAACAAUACCAAUAACACAUAUAACCCAAAGAAUCAUAUUAAACAGCCCCCUCCCCAAAACAGUUCCAUCUCGGCAACUAUAUCAGCGAAGCAACGACACACCGAGUGAUAACUCGUUUUAUAGUUCGUAACACAUCUACCUUAUCGUAUUCAUCCUUUGGAGUAUAUACUCAUAAUCACAUUCAACAUAUACAUAAUGCCAAAACAGAAUUUUCCUGCAGUUUGCUUUAAUCAAAACAGCCCAAGCACCAACACGACACCACUAAUAAUCCGAUUAUGGUUUCCAUUCAUACUUAGUACAUUCAAUAACUAAAACAAACUUCCUAAGCUACUGGUCACGCCCCCUUCUUAAAAUUAAUGGAUAAUUAACAAGGGUAUUCUAAAGAAUUAACACACCAAACAAGGAGAUUACUAACCAAAUUAUUUGCAGCUGCUGGCCAAGAGUUGCAGGGUUGGUUUCUCCAUUUCCAUGGCUGCCUAAGACAAGUGGUGAAGAAGAAGAUGAUAUGCAGCAAUGCAUUUCACCACUUUAUAUAGCAUGGAGUGGAUUUCUCCACCUCAUUUAAUAGUAUGAAGUGGAGGCAGCCCCCCUCUACACCUGUCCACUAAGGCCAGCCCACAAUCUGAUCCCUUUUUAAUUUUUUUGCCUUGAGUGGUGGGGCCCAUUGAAUUAAAUCAGUCCAAAUUAGCCACUAAUUAAUCCCUCACUUAAAUUUAAUGGCACUUACAUUAGCCAACUCAUACUUAAUAUCACAUUUGGAAAUAACAUCCUUGCCUAAUAUUUCUUUACGUCUUCUAGAUCACGAUGCGCACUACGUAUAUAAAAAAAAUACGAGGCAUAACCUCCUUCCCCCCUUAGGAACAUUCGUCCUCGAAUGUUAAGUUAGCGUCUUGCAAAAACAAAUUCCAGCGAGGUCUCUCUAAAAGUUAUACCUAUCAACCUGCAUUCCGUAACUUACAGAUGCCUCACAGCUACAUAAUCUCAUAUCUAUCAAUAUAGUCAAGCUAGGAAUUGAAUUACCUGCAGGUACGGGGAACAAGUAAGGAUACUUAUUUUUCAUUUCGUCUUCCGCUUCCCAAGUCAUCUCCUCCCUAUUGUUAUUUUGCCACAACACUUUGACGGAAGCCACAUCCUUAGUACGUAACCUUCUAACCUGACGAUCAAGUAUAGCCACGGGUUUCUCCUCAUAUGACAACUCCUCUGUUACCUGAAUAUCAUCUACAGGGAAUACUCUAGAAGGAUCACCAAUACAUUUACGUAGCAUCGAUACAUGGAAGACUGGAUGUACCGCCUCCAAAUCAGAUGGUAGAUCCAACUCAUAGGCAACCUUGCCUAUCCUACGAACAAUCUGAUAAGGCCCAAUGUAUCUCGGACUGAGCUUCCCCUUCCUGCCGAAUCUCAUCACACCCCUCAUGGGUGAUACCUUCAGGAAUACCCAGUCACCAAUCUGAAACUCCAAAUCUCGACGCCGAUUAUCUGCAUAUGACUUCUGUCGACUCUGGGCUGCUAAUAAUCUUUCUUGAAUAAGCUUCACCUUGUCAACAGCUUGCUGAAUCACAUCCGGGCCUAUUAACUUAGUCUCGCCAACAUCAAACCAACCAAUAGGUGAUCUGCACUUCCUCCCAUAUAAGGCCUCGUACGGUGCCAUCUGGAUACUAGAAUGGUAGCUAUUAUUAUAGGCAAACUCAAUGAGCGGCAAGUGGUCAUUCCAGCUGCCUUUGAAGUCAAUAAUACAGGCCCGCAACAUAUCUUCUAGUGUCUGAAUAGUACGCUCAGCCUGCCCAUCAGUCUGAGGGUGAAAUGUUGUGCUAAGGUUCACCUGUGUCCCCAAUCCCUUCUGAAACGAUCUCCAAAAGUUGGCUGUAAAUUGAGCUCCUCUGUCUGAUAUAAUGGACGUGGGAACCCCAUGAAGUCUCACUAUCUCCCUGACAUAUAACCUCGCAUAAUCUUCAGCCGAAUAAGUAGUCCUGACUGGAAGAAAAUGGGCCGAUUUCGUCAGCCUAUCUACAAUAACCCAUAUAGAGUCAUACUUCCGUUGAGUGCGAGGUAAGCCUGUAAUGAAGUCCAUAUUAAUCAUCUCCCAUUUCCAAGUCGGGAUCUCUAUCUCCUGUAAUAAUCCACCAGGCUUUUGAUGUUCGAUCUUGACUUGUUGACAAUUUGGGCACUGAGCAACAAACUCUGCUAUGUCCUUUUUCAUGCCAUCCCACCAAUAUAAGCAUCUGAGGUCAUGAUACAUUUUUGUUGACCCUGGGUGAAUAGAAUAACGGGCAGAGUGUGCCUCUCCCAUAACUUGCCGUCGUAGCCCCGCAGUAUCGGGUACACACAAUCUGCCUUCAUAUCGUAACACUCCAUCAGGUGUAACCUUAAAUGGGGUCUUUUCCUUUUGAAGAGCUGCAUCUCUAUACUGUGCCAGAAUAGGGUCCUUGUAUUGGUGUCUCUUUACCUCAUCUAUGAUUGAGGACUCAGCAACCUCUCGAAUAGAAACUCCACUAUCUUCCGAAUUAGCUAGACGGACUCCAAGGCUGGAUAGCCGCUGAAUCUCCCGAACCAUAUCCCUCCCUUCUGGUUGUACAUCUGUCAAGCUACCCAUGGACUUACGGCUAAGAGCAUCUGCUACAACAUUCGCUUUCCCUGGAUGAUAUAAAAUAUCAACAUCAUAAUCCUUUAGCAACUCUAACCACCGCCUCUGUCGUAAGUUCAGCUCCUUCUGUUUAAAGAUAUAUUGGAGACUCUUAUGAUCUGUAUAGAUGUCCACAUGGACACCAUAUAAAUAAUGUCUCCAUAUCUUCAAGGCAUGAACCACGAUCGCUAAUUCCAGAUCGUGAGUAGGAUAGUUCUUUUCAUGCUUCCUAAGUUGUCGGGAGGCAUAGGCUAUAACUUUGCCAUGCUGCAUCAAUACACAUCCUAGCCCAACACCCGAAGCAUCACAAUAAAUAACAUAGCCGUCUGGUCCCUCUGGAAGAGUUAGGACUGGAGCUGUAGUCAAUUUGUCUUUUAAUAGCUGGAAGCUUCGCUCACAAGCAUCUGUCCACUGGAACUUGGCUGCCUUUUGAGUUAGCCUUGUCAAAGGCACUGAAAUUGAGGCAAACUUUUCUACGAAUCUCCUGUAAUAUCCUGCUAACCCCAAAAAGCUGCGUACAUCAAUAGGUGUCGUAGGUCUGGGCCAAGUCUUUACUGCCUCAAUCUUCUGCGUAUCUACCCGAAUACCAUCAGCUCCAAUAAUAUGCCCCAAGAAUGCCACUGAAGUCAACCAGAACUCGCACUUAGAAAAUUUAGCAUACAACUUCUGGUGCUGAAGCACCCUAAGUACCGUCCUUAAAUGAUCUGCAUGCUCCUCUUCUGAACGUGAAUAGACCAGAAUAUCGUCUAUAAAUACAAUAACAAACAUAUCAAGGAAUGGUUUAAAUACUCGAUUCAUUAAAUCCAUGAAUACCGCUGGAGCAUUAGUCAACCCAAAAGACAGCACUCUAAACUCAUAAUGCCCAUAUCGGGUCCGGAAUGCUGUCUUUGGAAUAUCUGCCUCCCUUACCCGCACCUGAUGAUAACCUGACCGCAAGUCUAUCUUUGAAAAACACUUUGCACCCUGCAACUGGUCAAAUAGAUCGUCAAUCCUUGGGAGGGGAUACCUGUUCUUUAUUGUUACUUUGUUCAACUGCCUAUAAUCAAUGCACAUCCGCAGCGACCCAUCCUUCUUCCUCACAAACAGUACUGGUGCUCCCCAAGGUGACGUACUAGGCCUGAUGAAGCCCUUUUCUAGCAAAUCCCUCAAUUGCUCUUUCAAUUCUUUCAACUCAGCAGGUGCCAUUCUAUAAGGAGGUAUAGAUAUAGGCUGGGUAUCUGGCAGUACAUCUAUAGUAAACUCUAUCUCCCGUUCUGGAGGAAGGCCUGGAAGUUCCUCGGGGAAUACAUUAGGAAAUUCAUUAACUACCGGGACUGAUUGAAGAGUCGGUGCCUCUGCCUUUAUGUCAUGCACCCAAAUCAGAUGGUAAAUAUAGCCUUUUCUAACCAUCUUCCCGGCCUUGAGGUAUGAAAUGAACUUACCUUUCGGCGAUACUGUACUUCCCUUCCACUCUAUAAUCGGUUCCCCUGGAAAUUGAAAUCGAACUAUCUUUCCUCUGUAAUCAACAUUAGCAUAACAAGCAGCCAACCAAUCCAUGCCCAUGAUAAUAUCAAACUCAAUCAUAUUUAACUCUAUUAGAUCUGCUACGGUAUGACGACUAUAUAUAGCUACUGAACAAUUCCUAUAUACUCGCGUAGCUAUGACAAAAUCUCCUACAGGUGUAGCUACCUCAAAUGGUUCUAUCAACUCAGACUCUAUUCUGAUCCUACUAGCAACAAAGGGAGAUAUAUAUGAUAAGGUGGAACCUGGGUCUAUCAAUGCAUACACACUUCGGGAGAAUAGUGAUAAUAUACCUGUGAUCACAUUAGGUGACGCCUCUUGAUCUUGCCUAUUAGUCAAAGCAUAUAUACGGUUUGAGGGACCACUAGAACUGGAAGCUCCACCACGUCCUCUACCACGGCCUGCUGGUGCCUGAAUACCCUGCCCCGUAGGGCGCAUAGCCACAGAAGAAGAUGAACCAGCAACGGACCCUGUAGGCUGUGCCAUACCACCUGCACUACCUCUAAGGUGACACUCCCUCAUAGUAUGGCCUUGACGGCCGCAAGAAAAACACGCACCUGUAGCCCAACGACAUUUCCCAGGAUGGGACUUACCACAACGAGAACACCGAGGCAAAGGUGGCCUCGACUGGCUCAAACCCCUGCCUAUCUGUGACCCUGACGCCCUAGAGCUCUGACCAGGUUCCGAAUAUCCCAUACGAUCGAACCCCCUACCCAUGAAACGUGGGGGUGCACUCUGUGCUGGCUGGGAAGAAAAUCUAACAUGCUGCUGAGACUGCCUGCUUUGAAACUCGUCAGGAUAACCUGCUGAUCUAGCCCUCUUAUGCUGGCCUCUAUUAUAAUCUCUAUCUGGCUGACGUCCCCGGUGCCGAUCCUCUACCCCCUGUGCAUAUGCCUGCACCCGAGCAAUGUCCAUACCUGGCUGAAGAGUCACUGCCAUACAACCGUCAAUCAGAUAAUGAUCCAAUCCCAUCACAUAACGAUGUACCCUAUCUGCCAUAUCAGCAGCCAAUGAAUCAAACUCGAGGCUAUACUCUCGAACGCUCCUGCCAUUUUGCUUCAAACGCAAGAAUUUAUCGACUCUAGCUCGCUUCAUCUCUGGAGGCAGGAAGUGGCCCUGGAAAGCCUCCACAAAUUCAUCCCAUACCGCUGGAGGGGCACCCUCACCCCUAGAUAACUCCCAAGACUCAUACCAAUUAAUAGCUACAUCCCGCAAACGAUACGUAGCCAACUCAACAGACUCGGUCUCCGAAGCCUUGAUUAUCCUCAAUCUACGCUGCAUCUGACGAAUAAACUCUUGCGGAUCAUCCUGUGGCCUUGACCCAAAGAACUCUGGAGGAUUACAACUUAAGAAGUCACGAGCCCUUAAGCUAUCAGAUCUGUCCGCAUGAUCAACUCCUAGUCCAUGCCUGCGAGCCUGAUCUGCCACUAAUCUAGUCAGCAAUUGAACCGCAUCUCUCAUGGCCCUAUCCUCCGCCCCUGACUGAGGAGCUGGAGGUUCAGAUGUUGGGGCCUCGGGGGCUGGUGGUGUCCCCCGAACUGGAGCUGCUGCUGCUCUAAGCUCUUCUGGCGGUGGGGGUGUAGCAGAGCUCUCCGACUGGAGCAUAAUACUAGGCAUAGACUGGGCACGGGCCCUAGUAACUCUUCGGGUCUGACUAGUACCUUCUGCUACCGAUUUUCCCUUCUGGGCGGCUGUCGCUUUCUUUGGAGGCAUAGCUGAAAACACAUGGAUUCGUUAGAGAGGGAUUAUCCUGUUAAUAUAGCUCUAUCGCACGAUCUAGAAUAAGAAGAAAGAAUGACAUCAUAAAUGUCCUGUAGCUUCCUGUUUAUAGAUGUGGUGCACAACACACCGAUAAACAAGACUCUACUAGACACGGUCUGUAGACACUUUCGAGGAAGAACCGCUCUGAUACCACUCUUUGUCACGACCCAACCCGAUAGGCCGUGAUUAGUGCCCGUUUUGGACACCCACAUACAAACCUGCUAAGUAUGACCAACUGAAACUAAGACAAUAUGGAAUUUAAUCAAACCAAGCCAACCCCAACGUCAUAUAUAUAUAUAAGAGGACCUGUCUCAUAAGGAGUCAUAACCAUUCAACCAUAACAGCAUACGCGAGCCGACAAGGCCGCCACUAUUCAAAGCAUAAUGAUGUACACAGCCGACAAGGCUGCCCCUGUACAAGCGGACAUCCCAAACAAACCAUGUCCAGACCAUUAUCCAAAACAUAUAUAUACAACCCACAUAAUGUCCACAGACCUCUAAGGGUACAUUAGUGAAACUCGACGGGACAGGGCCCCGCCAUACCCAUAGACGAGCAAAAGACUACACAAAAGUUAUGUACCAAAAUGAAUGGGCUCCGGAACAGUGGAGCUCUCCCAAUCAGCAGAGUAGAUAUCCUAGGCGGGAGGAUCACCGAACUGCGCGUCUACACCUGCGGGCAUGAAACGCAGCCCCCCAAGGAAAGGGGGGUCAGUACGGACAAUGUACUGAGUAUGUAAAGCAUAAGGUAAAGAUGACAGGAUACCAAUGUGGCAACUCGAAACAAAAUAUCGCUACACAUAUACUUUUUAAGUGAAAAUCAUGCAUAUAUUUAACAUUUAAGGUGCCCAGCUUCCCUAGUAAGGGGCUCGGCAAAAUAAUCAUCACGUCAUCUCCGUCAUCAUCAUCAUCAUAACCAUCCUCAUCACCAAUCAUAUAUAUAAUAUACAUACCCGUCCCUCUAGUGAGGAACUCGGUGACAUAUGCAAGAAACUCCGCACGAACAUUACCCGGCCCGGGACUCGGUGAAAUGAUAAAUGACUCUAUGCACGAGCAGAAUAUUAUGAGCAACCAUAUGCAAUUAAAAUCAUUUCUUAUAACUCAAUAGAACAAUCAACGUGAACCAGCAAGGAGUAUUACCAAAGAUUAAUGUUUUAUCAAGAUUAUGAACCUUUAAUACGAUAUGAAAACGUAAAAUUUCAAUGACUCUAAGAAGCAUUACCAUAGAUAUUAGAGAUCAUCAUAGCCUUAGACAUAACCGAUAUAUAGAGGAAUAAUUGUGGAAGCAAGAAUAUACAUCACCUAGAUGCUUUAGAGGUAAGUAUCAAAUCUGUCCGUUAUUCGCUUAUUUUUAAAAGUCAUGCCAAGCAAAGAAAGAAGGGACAGCGUUACAUACCGUAUAAUCGAGCCGCACGUCCAAUAUUUACUGCUCAAGCUAUUAAUCUAUAACAAGCAACAAUCGUGCCGCAAUUAGAUAAACAUCGUGCUUUACUUUCUUGUAAGCUAGCUAAUAAUCUAACGAAAAUUCGGCAGCACCUCCCCUAUUUUCCUUACUUCGUCCCAAUCCGACAACAAUCCAAAUUAUCCACAACAAUACCAAUAACACAUAUAACCCAAAGAAUCAUAUUAAACAGCCCUCUCCCCAAAACAGUUCCAUCUCGGCAACUAUAUCAGCGAAGCAACGACACACCGAGUGAUAACUCGUUUUAUAAUUCGUAACACAUCUACCUUAUCGUAUUCAUCCUUUGGAGUAUAUACUCAUAAUCACAUUCAACAUAUACAUAAUGCCAAAACAGAAUUUUCCUGCAGUUUGCUUUAAUCAAAACAGCCCAAGCACCAACACGACACCACUAAUAAUCCGAUUAUGGUUUCCAUUCAUACUUAGUACAUUCAAUAACUAAAACAAACUUCCUAAGCUACUGGUCACGCCCCCUUCUUAAAAUUAAUGGAUAAUUAACAAGGGUAUUCUAAAGAAUUAACACACCAAACAAGGAGAUUACUAACCAAAUUAUUUGCAGCUGCUGGCCAAGAGUUGCAGGGUUGGUUUCUCCAUUUCCAUGGCUGCCUAAGACAAGUGGUGAAGAAGAUGAUGAUAUGCAGCAAUGCAUUUCACCACUUUAUAUAGCAUGGAGUGGAUUUCUCCACCUCAUUUAAUAGUAUGAAGUGGAGGCAGCCCCCCUCUACACCUGUCCACUAAGGCCAGCCCACAAUCUGAUCCCUUUUUAAUUUUUUUGCCUUGAGUGGUGGGGCCCAUUGAAUUAAAUCAGUCCAAAUUAGCCACUAAUUAAUCCCUCACUUAAAUUUAAUGGCACUUACAUUAGCCAACUCAUACUUAAUAUCACAUUUGGAAAUAACAUCCUUGCCUAAUAUUUCUUUACGUCUUCUAGAUCACGAUGCGCACUACGUAUAUAAAAAAAAUACGAGGCAUAACACCUAGGGUUAAGGGUUAAGGGUCAUCUUCUACAAACAAGAUGAAACAAUCAAGUUAUAUCAUAAUAAAGUUAGAAUAAAUAUCAGUCGAUUCAUAUUAUCCAAUAGAAAAGACAAACACACUAAUUCAUAACAUUAUUUUUGAGAAUGAGAAAGACACACAUAAAAACUCAUUUUUUGAAAACACUUUGAAAAAACCCUUUCAGGAAAGAGGUCUGAAGGUGAAUUAGAUGCUAUACCUCAAUAUUUGAUGGAUAAAUUAUGGUGAAAACAUCCCAUUACAUACCCCAAAACUCCCCCUAUCUUAGUCUUUAAUGGUGUCUUCCAAUAAGGAGAUAAAGAAGAGAGAAGGAUCACAAUUUUGGUUUCUGAGUUGUAAUUAGACUAAUGGGGUUGGGGUCUUUAUAUGGGUGGGGUGGGGUUAAUAAAGUUAAUUACUCUUUCUUAAUCAUAAACAACCACAAAACCUCAAUUAUUUUUGUAAAACAAAGUUAAAACAAUCUCGGAAAAUAGGACUUUUACAGAACUGAUCCCGUCGACGGUUUGUAUGUGAGUCGAUGACUAGUCCCUCCUCUAUGCUGCACACUUGUACAUUUGGUAAGAGACUCUGCAAAUGAGGGACUCCAACAACUUGGGUAAGUGUUGGUAUACAGUUAUAAUUGACGCCCCAUCGAUCAACACACGCCCCCGUCUAUGCCGUUUUGUUGGUGAACACUGUUGAGGCAGUGUUUGACUCAACCUGCAACGGUCCUCCUCAAGAGCCCUUGGUUUGUCCUUGGGUAUUCGUACCCAGACUUUUAGACUAUGAAUCUACUUAAACAUAUUUUAGACACUCUUCCACCAAUUUUCAUCAUUUUCCUAUUUAGAGGUCCAUGUAAACCUCCUUGCUAUAUAAGCAAACAUUUUUACUUUUCUUGUAUUUUAUUACCUAUGAUGUGCUAUAAUGAAUACUAAGGGAUUGUUUUAGUACUCAUAGAGGAUGACGACACCGAUGAGAACAAGGGUGUACUUUGGGUCGUUUCAAACAUUGUAUCAGAGCAUUAGGUUAAAGUAAAUCAUAGGAUUGAUGUCUCACUAAACCACGUCCAUGAGAGACUAUAUGAUGUUUAGCAAAUAUCACUCUAUAAUUAUUCCUUAUUCAUGCCUAGGAGUCCUAGAUCCAUUUAGUCCUUUCUUCUUAUCUUUUUUUUGUCCUUAUAGGCAAUGGAUAGAAGGAAGAACAAUGCUCAAAGGGACAGAGGGAUAAUUUGAAUGAGGCGGUUCCCCCUCAACUCCUCAAAACCCUCAAGUUCCUAAUGAAGAUGGGGAUAUGUCUAAUGAUGAGAUAAGGUAGACCACUAAUAGCUUGUCUCAAAUGUUGGCUACCCAUGAUUCUUGGGAUGCACGAGUAAAGUGAAUCCCAAUUCUAACACUAUCGCAUAAAGGAUUAGGGAUUUCCCUAGGAUGAAUCCUCCUACUUUCUUUGGCUCUAAGGUAGAGGAGGACCCACAAGGGUUCAUUGAUAAAGUGUUAAAUGUUUUUGAUUUUAUGGGUUUUUUUAAGAAAAGGAGGAACUAGUCGUCUUUCAAUUCAAAGACAUAGCUCAAAUUUGGUAUGAGCAAUGAAAGGCUGAGAGGCCUCUUAUAGAAGGCCAAAUUUCUUGGGGAUCUUUGAAAAUGGCUUUCCUUGAUAGGUUAUUUCCCUUGGUAGUUAGGAAGAGAAAAAUAAAAGAAUUUAUCAACCUUCGUUUAGGGUGUAUGAGCGCGAAAGAGUAUAGCCUCAAGUUCACUCAACUAUCUAAGUAUGCUCCUACUAUGGUUGCGGAUUCUAGAGAUAAUAUGAAUGAAUUUGCUAUGGGUAUAGCCGAUCUUGCGGUUUAUGAGUGUAAGUCGGAUAUGUUCAUUCCUAGCAUACACAUCUCUCUUCUCAUGGUUCAUGUCAAAAAAAUUGAGGAGCAAAAGCUUAAGAGAGUUGGUAGGGAGUCGAAGAAGGUAAGAACCGAAUAUGGAAAUUCUUCCAUGGCUAAUUUUGAGGUACCAGACAAACCACGGUUCAAAAGGAGGUGUUCAAACUAAGGCCAUUCUAAUUCUCCAAGGGUUAACAAGAUUAAGGUGACUACUCCCAAGCCCCAAGAGGGGAAAGGUGGUAGAUCUUAUGUUGAGAAGCCUCUUAGUGCAAAAUCUGAUAAGAGACAUGAUGGUAUGUGUCUUGAUUGCACGGGAAAUUAUUAUGGUUUUUUAAAGAGAGUGGUUAUAUGAAUAGAUAUUUCCUUAUGAUGAAGUCUCAAGGAAGGGAAAAUUCUCAAGCUCAAGCAAGUUCCCCAAACUGCUUUAAUCCUCUGCAAUCCCGAAGUGAUCAAGAGAGCUCACCGGACGUGUUCACCGUUAUGUUUAGAUUUUUUUUAUGUAUAUGCUUUGUUGGAUCUGAGAUAUACGUUGUCAUUUGUGACCCCUCUUGUAGCCAUGAAAUUUUAAAUUCCACCCGACAUAUUAGAGAAACCUUUUUCGGUUUCUACCAGGUAGGUGCUUUUGUGGUGGUUAAUAGAGUCUGUAAAGAUUGUCCUAUUUCCUUUCCUAAUAAGGUUACAUUAGUUGACUUGAUAUAACUUGAUAUGCUAGAUUUUGAUGUCAUAUUGGGAAUGGACUGGUUGCAUGCUUAAUUUUCUUUUAUUGAAUGUAGGACAAGGGUAGUUAAAUUUAAAUUUCCAAAUGAACCCAUUUUUAGUGAAAGGGAGGAAAAUCAAAUCCUAGGGGAAAGAUUAUUUCAUAUAAAAAAUCUUACCAAUUGAUUGUGAAAGGUUGUCUCUAUAACAAAGUAAGAGAUAGGAAUAUUAAAUUCAAAGUACCUUCUAUAGAUUCGGUACCUGUAGUAAGGAAAUUUCCAAAGGACUUUCCCGAUGACCUUCUCGGAAUUCCUCUCGAAGGGGAGACAUACUUCAGAAUAGAUUUUUUGCCAGAUACACAACCUAUUUCCAUCCCCUCCUUAUCGUAUGUCCCCAGCCUAGUUAAAAGAACUAAAGUCUUACGGAUUUGCUACAAAAGGGUAUUAUUCAACCUAACUUAUCUCCAUGGUUUCCCCGAUAUUGUUUGUGAAUAAGAAUAAUGGUUCUUUGAAAAUGUAUAUCGACUUAAUUGAGAAAAGCCACUAUAACGAAUAUGUACCUGCUCCAUAGGAUAGAUCACUUUUUUGAUCAACACAAUGGAGCAAGCUACUUUUUGAAAAUUGACUUGAGGUCGGGUUAUCAACAUAGAGUGAGAAAGGUUGAUAUUCCAAAAACAACUUCCUGAACAUGAUAUGGCCGCUUUAAGUUUCAAUUGAUGUUAUUUGGUCUAACAAAUGCCCUGGCAACGUUCAUGGACCUUGUGAAUCGAAUUGUUAGAAAGUAUCUUGAUUUGUUUGUGAUUAUCUUCAUUGAUGACAUUUUUAUAUACUCUACGAGUGAGAAUGAUCAUAUAAUACAUUUGAUGAUAAUUUUGAAUGUUCUCAAGGAUAAAAAACUUUUUUCUAAGUUUAGAAAGUGUGAGUUAGGGUUGAGAUCGGUUGCAUUUCUUGGUCACAUUGUCUCUAGUGAAGGGGUGGUGGUUGAUCUAACAAAGAUGAAAGUGGCCAAGAGUUGUCCUACACCUUUGACUCCUACCGCACACAAUGUUUUCUAGGGUUGGCCGAUUUUUAUAGGAGGUUUGUUGAGGGAGUUUCGUAUAUCACAUUGUUAUGCCUCGUAUUUUUUUUAUACGUAGUGCGCAUCGUGAUCUAGAAGACGUAAAGAAAUAUUAGGCAAGGAUGUUAUUUUCAAAUGUGAUAUUAAGUAUGAGUUGGCUAAUGUAAGUGCCAUUAACUUUAAGUGAGGGAUUAAUUAGUGGCUAAUUUGGAUUGAUUUAAUCCAAUGGGCCCCACCACUCAUAAUUGGUGGCUGAUUAGGAUUAAUUUAAUCCAGUGGGCCCCACCACUCAAGGCAAAAAUUAAAAAGGGAUCAGAUUGUGGGCUGGCCUUAGUGGACAGGUGUAGAGGGGGGCUGCCUCCACUUCAUACUAUUAAAUGAGGUGGAGAAAUCCACUCCAUGCUAAAUAAAGUGGUGAAAUGCAUUGCUGCAUAUCAUCUUCUUCUUCACCACUUGUCUUAGGCAGCCAUGGAAAUGGAGAAGCCAACCCUGCAACUCUUGGCCAGCAGCUGCAAAUAAUUUGGUUAGUAAUCUCCUUGUUUGGUGUGUUAAUUCUUCAGAAUACCCUUGUUAAUUAUCCAUUAAUUUUAAGAAGGGGGCGUGACCAGUAGCUUAGGAAGUUUGUUUUAGUUAUUGAAUGUGCUAAGUAUGAAUGGAAACCAUAAUCGAAUUAUUAGUGGUGUCGUGUUGGUGCUUGGGCUGUUUUGAUUAAAGCAAACUGCAGGAAAGUUCUGUUUUGGCAUUAUGUAUAUGUUGAAUGUGAUUAUGAGUAUAUACUCCAAAGGAUGAAUACGAUAAGGUAGAUGUGUUGCGAAUUAUAAAACGAGUUAUCGCUCGGUGUGUCGUUGCUUCGUUACUAUGGUUGCCGAGACAGAACUGUUUUGGGGAGGGGGCUGUUUAAUAUGAUUCUUUGGGUUAUAUGUGUUAUUGGUAUUGCUGUGGAUAAUUUGGAUUGUUGUCGGAUUGGGACGAAGUAAGGAAAAUAGGGGAGGUGCUGCCGAAUUUUCGUUAGAUUAUUAGCUAGCUUACAAGAAAGUAAAGCACGAUGUUUAUCUAAUUGCGGCACGAUUGUUGUUUGUUAUAGAUUAAUAGCUUGAGCAGUAAAUAUUGGACGUGCGGCUCGAUUAUACGGUAUGUAACGCUGUCCCUUCUUUCUUUGCUUGGCAUGACUUUUAAAAAUAAGCGAAUAACGGACAGAUUUGAUACUUAUCUCUAGAGCGUCUAGGUGACGUAUAUUCUUGCUUCCACAAUUAUUCCUCUAUAUAUCGGCUAUGUCUAAGGCUAUGAUGAUCUCUAAUAUCUAUGGUAAUGCUUCUUAGAGUCAUUGAGAUUUUACGUUUCCAUAUCGUAUCAAAGGUUCAUAAUCUUGAUAAAACAUUAAUCUUUGGUAAUACUCCUUGCUGGUUCACGUUGAUUGUUCUAUUGAGUUAUAUGAAAUGAUUUUAAUUGCAUAUGGUUGCUCAUAAUAUUCUGCUCGUGCAUAGAGUCAUUUAUCAUUUCACCGAGUCCCGGGCCGGGUAAUGUUCAGGCGGAGUUUCUUGCAUGUCACCGAGUUCCUCACUAGAGGGCCGGGUAUGUAUAUUAUAUAUAUGAUUGGUGAUGAGGAUGGUUAUGAUGAUGAUGAUGACAGAGAUGACGUGAUGAUUAUUUUGCCGAGCCCGCUGGGCACCUUAAAUGUUAAAUAUAUGCAUGAUUUUCACUUAAAAGGGUAUAUGUGUAGCGAUAUUUUGUUUCGACUUGCCAUAUUGGUAUCCUGUCAUCUUUACCUUAUGCUUUACAUACUCAGUACAUUGUCCGUACUGACCCCCCUUUCCUCGGGGGGCUGCGUUUCAUGCCCGCAGGUGUAGACGCACAGUUCGGUGAUCCUCCCGCCUAGGAUAUCUACUCUGCUGAUUGGGAGAGCUCCACUGUUCCGGAGCCCAGUCGUUUUGGUACAUUACUUUUGUGUAGUCUUUUGCUCGUCUAUGGGUAUGGCGGGGCCCUGUCCCGUCAAGUUUCACUAAUGUACUCUUAGAGGUCUGUGGACAUUAUAUGGGUUGUAUAUAUAUGUUUUGGAUAAUGGUCUGGACAUGGUUUGUUUGGGAUGUCCGCUUGUACAGGGGCAGCCUUGUCGGCUGCGUACAUCAUUGUGUAUUGUGUAGUGGCAGCCUUGUCGGCAUACAUAUGUUAUUAUGCUUUGAAUAGUGGUGGCCUUGUCGGCUCGCGUAUGCUGUUAUGGUUGAAUGGUUAUGACUCCUUAUGAGACAGGUCCUCUUAUAUAUAUAUGACGUUGGAGUUGGCUUGAUUUGAUUAAAUUCCAUAUUGUCUUAGUUUCAGUUGGUUAUACUUAGCAGGUUUGUAUGUGGGUGUCCAAAAUGGGCACUAGUCACGGCCCAUCGGGUUGGGUCGUGACAAAGAGUGGUAUCAGAGCGGUUCUUCCUCAGAAGUGUCUACAAACCGUGUCUAGUAGAGUCUUGUUUAUCGGCGUGUUGUGCACCACAUCUAUAAACAGGAAGCUACAGGACAUUUAGGAUGUCAUUUUUUCUUCUUAUUCUAGAUCGUGCGAUAGAGCUAUAUUAACAGGAUAAUCCCUCUCUAACGAAUCCAUGUGUUUUUAGCUAUGCCUCCAAAGAAAGCGACAGCCACCCAGAAGGGAAAAUCGGUAGCAGAAGGUACUAGACAGACCCGGAGAGUUACUAGGGCCCGUGCCCAGUCUAUGCCUGGUAUUAUGCUCCAGUCGAAGAGCUCUGCUACACCCCCACCGCCAGAAGAGCUUAGAACAGCAGCAGCUCCAGUUCGGGGGACACCACCAGCCCCCGAGGCCCCAACAUCUGAACCUCCAGCUCCUCAGUCAGGGGUAGAGGAUAGGGCCAUGAGAGAUGCGGGUCAAUUGCUGACUAGAUUAGUGGCAGAUCAGGCUCGUAGGCAUGGACUAGGAGUUGAUCAUGCAGACAGAUCUGAUAGCUUAAGGGCUCGUGACUUCUUAAGUUGUAAUCCUCCAGAGUUCUUUGGGUCAAGGCCCCAGGAUGAUCCGCAAGAGUUUAUUCGUCAGAUGCAGCGUACAUUGAGGAUAAUCAAGGCUUCGGAGACCGAGUCUGUUGAGUUGGCUACCUAUCGUUUGCGGGAUGUAGCUAUUAAUUGGUAUGAGUCUUGGGAGUUAUCUAGGGGUGAGGGUGCUCCUCCAGCGGUAUGGGAUGAAUUUGUGGAGGCUUUCCAGGGCCACUUCCUGCCUCCAGAGAUGAAGCGAGCUAGAGUCGAUAGAUUCUUGCGUUUGAAACAAAAUGGCAGGAGCAUUCGAGAGUAUAGCCUCGAGUUUGAUUCAUUGGCUAGGCAUGCACCUACUAUUGUGGCUGAUAUGGCAGACAGGGUACAUCGUUAUGUGAUGGGAUUGGAUCGUUAUUUUAUUGACGGUUGUAUGGCAGUGACUCUUCAGCCAGGUAUGGACAUUGCUCGGGUGCAGGCAUAUGCACAAGGGGUAGAGUAUCGACACGGGGACGUCAGCCAGAUAGAGAUUAUAAUAGAGGCCAGCAUAAGAGGGCUAGAUCAGCAGGUUAUCCUGACGAGUUUCAAAGCGGGCAGUCUCAGCAGCAUGUUAGAUUUUCUUCCCAGCCAGCACAGAGUGCACCCCCACGUUUCAUGGGUAGGGGGUUCGAUCGUAUGGGAUAUUCGGAAGCUGGUCAGAGCUCUAGGGCGUUAGGGUCACAGAUGGGCAGGGGUUUGAGCCAGUCGAGGCCACCUUUGCCUCGGUGUUCUCGUUGUGGUAAGUCCCAUUCUGGGGAAUGUCGUUGGGCUACAGGUGCGUGUUUUUCUUGCGGCCGUCAGGGCCAUACUAUGAGGGAGUGUCACCUUAGAGGUAGUGCAGGUGGUAUGGCACAGCCUACAGGGUCCGUUGCUGGUUCAUCUUCUUCUGUGGCUAUGCGCCCUACGGGGCAGGGUAUUCAGGCGCCAACAGGCCGUGGUAGAGGACGUGGUGGAGCUUCCAGUUCUAGCAGUCCCUCAAACCGUAUAUAUGCUUUGACUAAUAGGCAAGAUCAGGAGGCGUCACCUAAUGUGAUCACAGGUAUAUUAUCACUAUUCUCCCGAAGUGUGUAUGCAUUGAUAGACCCAGGUUCCACCUUAUCAUAUAUAUCUCCCUUUGUUGCUAGUAGGAUCGGAAUAGAGUCUUAGUUGAUAGAACCAUUUGAGGUAGCUACACCUAUAGGAGAUUUUGUCAUAGCUACGCGAGUAUAUAGGAAUUGUUCAGUAGUUAUAUAUAGUCGUCGUACCGUAGCAGAUCUAAUAGAGUUAAAUAUGAUUGAGUUUGAUAUUAUCAUGGGCAUGGAUUCGUUGGCUGCUUGUUAUGCUAAUGUUGAUUGCAGAGGAAAGAUAGUUCGAUUUCAAUUUCCAGGGGAACCGAUUAUAGAGUGGAAGAGAAGUACAGUAUCGCCGAAAGGUAAGUUCAUUUCAUACCUCAAGGCCGGGAAGAUGGUUAGAAAAGUCUAUAUUUACCAUCUGAUUCGGGUGCAUGACAUAAAGGCAGAGGCACCGACUCUUCAAUCAGUCCUGGUAGUUAAUGAAUUUCCCGAUGUAUUCCCCGAGGAACUUCCAGGCCUUCCUCCAGAACAGGAGAUAGAGUUUACUAUAGAUGUACUGCCAAAUUCCCAGCCUAUAUCUAUACCUCCUUAUAGAAUGGCACCUGCUGAGUUGAAAGAAUUGAAAGAGCAAUUGAGGGAUUUGCUAGAAAAGGGCUUGAUCAGGCCUAGUACAUCACCUUGGGGAGCACCGGUACUGUUUGUGAGGAAGAAGGAUGGGUCGCUGUGGAUGUGCAUUGAUUAUAGGAAGUUGAACAAAGUAACAUCAAAGAACAGGUAUCCCCUCCCAAGGAUUGACGAUCUAUUUGACCAGUUGCAGGGUGCAAAGUGUUUUUCAAAGAUAGACUUGCGGUCAGGUUAUCAUCACGUGCGGGUAAGGGAGGCAGAUAUUCCAAAGAUGGCAUUCCGGACCCGAUAUGGGCAUUAUGAGUUUAGAGUGCUACGAUAAGGUAGAUGUGUUGCGAAUUAUAAAAUGAGUUAUCGCUCGGUGUGUCGUUGCUUCACUACUAUGGUUGCCGAGACGGAACUGUUUUGGGGAGGGGCUGUUUAAUAUGAUUCUUUGGGUUAUAUGUGUUAUUGGUAUUGCUGUGGAUAAUUUGGAUUGUUGUCGUAUUGGGACGAAGUAAGGAAAAUAGGGGAGGUGCUGCCGAAUUUUCGUUAGAUUAUUAGCUAGCUUACAAGAAAGUAAAGCACGAUGUUUAUCUAAUUGCGGCACGAUUGUUGCUUGUUAUAGAUUAAUAGCUUGAGCAGUAAAUAUUGGACGUGCGGCUCGAUUAUACGCUGUCCCUUCUUUCUUUGCUUGGCAUGACUUUUAAAAAUAAGCGAAUAACGGACAGACUUGAUACUUACAUCUAAAGCGUCUAGGUGACGUAUAUUCUUGCUUCCUUAAUUAUUCCUCUAUAUAUCGGCUAUGUCUAAGGCUAUGAUGAUCUCUAAUAUCUAUGGUAAUGCUUCUUAGAGUCAUUGAGAUUUUACGUUUCCAUAUCGUAUUAAAGGUUCAUAAUCUUGAUAAAACAUUAAUCUUUGGUAAUACUCCUUGCUGGUUCACGUUGAUUGUUCUAUUGAGUUAUAAGAAAUGAUUUUAAUUGCAUAUGGUUGCUCAUAAUAUUCUGCUCGUGCAUAGAGUCAUUUAUCAUUUCACCGAGUCCCAGGCCGGGUAAUGUUCGUGCGGAGUUUCUUGCAUAUGUCACCGAGUUCCUCACUAGAGGGCCGGGUAUGUAUAUUAUAUAUAUGAUUGGUGAUGAGGAUGGUUAUGAUGAUGAUGAUGACGGAG